rnacentral:rRNA from 1 species
GACGAACGCUGGCGGCGUGCUUAACACAUGCAAGUCGAACGGUAAGGCCCUUCGGGGUACACGAGUGGCGAACGGGUGAGUAACACGUGGGUGAUCUGCCCUGCACUUCGGGAUAAGCCUGGGAAACUGGGUCUAAUACCGGAUAUGACUCCGGACUGCAUGGUCUGGGGUGGAAAGCUUUUGCGGUGUGGGAUGGGCCCGCGGCCUAUCAGCUUGUUGGUGGGGUGAUGGCCUACCAAGGCGACGACGGGUAGCCGGCCUGAGAGGGUGACCGGCCACACUGGGACUGGGAUACAGCCCAGACUCCUACGGGAGGCAGCAGUGGGGAAUAUUGCACAAUGGGCGCAAGCCUGAUGCAGCGACGCCGCGUGAGGGAUGACGGCCUUCGGGUUGUAAACCUCUUUCAGCAUCGACGAAGCGAAAGUGACGGUAGGUGCAGAAGAAGGACCGGCCAACUACGUGCCAGCCGCCGCCGUAA